rnacentral:rRNA from 1 species
AUUGAACGCUGGCGGCAUGCCUUACACAUGCAAGUCGAACGGCAGCAUGGAGAGCUUGCUCUCUGAUGGCGAGUGGCGAACGGGUGAGUAAUGCAUCGGAACGUACCGUGUAAUGGGGGAUAACGUAGCGAAAGUUACGCUAAUACCGCAUACGACCUGAGGGUGAAAGCAGGGGAUCGCAAGACCUUGCGUUAUACGAGCGGCCGAUGUCAGAUUAGCUAGUUGGUGAGGUAAAGGCUCACCAAGGCGACGAUCUGUAGCGGGUCUGAGAGGAUGAUCCGACACCCUGGGACUGAGACACGGCCCAGACUCCUACGGGAGGCAGCAGUGGGGAAUUUUGGACAAUGGGGGCAACCCUGAUCCAGCCAUGCCGCGUGGGUGAAGAAGGCCUUCGGGUUGUAAAGCUCUUUCGGCCGGGAAGAAAUCGCACAGGCUAAUACUCUGUGUGGAUGACGGUACCGGCAUAAGAAGCACCGGCUAACUACGUGCCAGCAGCCGCCGUAA